GUCAGUGUGGUGUAGUGGUUUGAUUGUUGGACUAUGACUCUGGAAACCAGGGUUCAAAUCUCUGCUACGCCA